CAGCCGCCGCGGGAAUACGUAGGUGGCAAACGUUGUCCGGAAUUAUUGGGCGUAAAGGGCUCGCAGGCGGUUUCUUAAGUCUGGUGUGAAAGCCCCCGGCUCAACCGGGGAGGGUCAUUGGAAACCGGGAAACUUGAGUGCAGAGGAGGAGAGUGGAAUUCCACGUGUAGCGGUGAAAUGCGUAGAGAUGUGGAGGAACACCAGUGGCGAAGGCGACUCUCUGGUCUGUAACUGACGGUGAGGAGCGAAAGCGUGGGGAGCGAACAGGAUUAGAUACCCCGGUAGUCCCUGUCUCUUAUAC
rnacentral:rRNA from 1 species